rnacentral:rRNA from 1 species
CAAAAACAUGUCUUUUUGAGUUAUUUUUAAAGUNUAACCUGCCCAAUGAAAAAUUUUUAAUGGCCGCAGUAAUUUGACUGUGCAAAGGUAGCAUAAUAAUUAGUCUUUUAAUUGAAGGCUUGUAUGAAUGGUUGGACGAAGUAUAAUCUGUUUCAUUUAAAUUUAUUAUAGAAUUUUAUAUUUUAGUAAAAAAGCUAAAAUUUUUUUAAAAGACGAGAAGACCCUAUAAAUCUUUAUAAUUUAUAUUUAUUUUUCUUUUUUUGAUUUAUUUUAUUUUAAUAAUUUAGAUUAUUUUAUUGGGGUGAUAUUAAAAUUUAAAUAACUUUUAAUUUUUUUUUACAUUAAUUUAUGAUUUAUUGAUCCAUUAAUAAUGAUUAAAAGAAUAAGUUACUUUAGGGAUAACAGCGUAAUUUUUUUGGAGAGUUCUUAUUGAUAAAAAAGUUUGCGACCUCGAUGUUGGAUUAAGAUAUAAUUUUAGGUGUAGUUGCUUAAAUAAUAAGUCUGUUCGACUUUUAAAUUCUUACAUGAUCUGAGUUCAAACCGGA